rnacentral:pre_miRNA from 1 species
GUAAUACUCCCUCCGUCCAACAAGAGAUGUCUCAAGUUUGUCAAAAUUUGGAUGUAACUAGACAUGACUUAGUGUAUAGAUGUAUUGAAAUUUAGUCAAAGUUGAGACAUACUUUGUUGGACCUUGGACGGAGGAAGUACAAA